rnacentral:rRNA from 1 species
CAGUCGAACGAAGCGACUUAGCGGAAGUUUUCGGAUGGAAGCCAAAUUGACUGAGUGGCGGACGGGUGAGUAACGCGUGGGUAACCUGCCUCAUACAGGGGGAUAACAGUUAGAAAUGACUGCUAAUACCGCAUAAGCGCACGAGGAUGCAUGUUCUUGUGUGAAAAACUCCGGUGGUAUGAGAUGGACCCGCGUCUGAUUAGCUAGUUGGAGGGGUAACGGCCCACCAAGGCGACGAUCAGUAGCCGACCUGAGAGGGUGACCGGCCACAUUGGGACUGAGACACGGCCCAAACUCCUACGGGAGGCAGCAGUGGGGAAUAUUGCACAAUGGGGGAAACCCUGAUGCAGCAACGCCGCGUGAGUGAAGAAGUAUUUCGGUAUGUAAAGCUCUAUCAGCAGGGAAGAAGAUGACGGUACCUGAGUAAGAAGCCCCGGCUAACUACGUGCCAGCAGCCGCGGUAAUACGUAGGGGGCAAGCGUUAUCCGGAUUUACUGGGUGUAAAGGGAGCGUAGACGGCAGCACAAGUCUGGAGUGAAAUCCCGGGGCUUAACCCCGGAACUGCUUUGGAAACUGUGCGGCUGGAGUGCAGGAGGGGUAAGCGGAAUUCCUAGUGUAGCGGUGAAAUGCGUAGAUAUUAGGAGGAACACCGGUGGCGAAGGCGGCUUACUGGACUGUAACUGACGUUGAGGCUCGAAAGCGUGGGGAGCAAACAGGAUUAGAUACCCUGGUAGUCCACGCCGUAAACGAUGAUUACUAGGUGUCGGGGGACCAAGGUCCUCCGGUGCCGGCGCAAACGCAUUA